rnacentral:lncRNA from 1 species
GCUAAUGAAGUUGAUGAACUGACCAAGGCCAAGGAGGUUGAUGGGGUCUUUCAUGAAACUGUUGCUAAUGAAGAGGAGGAGCUGACCAAGGAUAAGAAUGAUGGUGUCUCUAAUGACGUUGUUGGUGAAGAAGAAGAUGAGCGGACCAAGUAAAAGGCAGGUGAUGGUGUCAGGACCCAAACCGAGGCCCUGGCCAUGAUGAAUAUCCCAAACCGUGAAGGCCCAAGAUCCCCUUUCUAACUGGUAAUCAUAUACAUAAUUCAUAUAGGUAAUUCCCCA